rnacentral:rRNA from 1 species
GUCCACGCCGUAAACGAUGAUAACUAGCUGCCGGGGCACUUGGUGCUUCGGUGGCGCAGCUAACGCAUUAAGUUAUCCGCCUGGGGAGUACGGUCGCAAGAUUAAAAACUCAAAGGAAUUGACGGGGGCCUGCACAAGCGGUGGAGCAUGUGGUUUAAUUCGAAGCAACGCGCAGAACCUUACCAGCGUUUGACAUGCCGGUCGCGGAUUCCAGAGAUGGAUUCCUUCAGUUCGGCUGGACCGUGCACAGGUGCUGCAUGGCUGUCGU